CAUUGAUUACCUCCCUUUGCAACCCUGUAAUAUGUCAAAAUGUCAGUACCAAUUUACAUAUAUUUUUUUCCCAGGGUAUCCAGGUGGGCCAUGUCCUGCCACAUUCAGGACAUCUGAGUUGCAACCCUUGUUAGCCAAUCAGGUUCCACUGUCCAGUUACAAGAAGCCUGGUGCAAAUAACUCGUUUGGUCCAGUUGCACCCAACAAAGGGCAAUUCCCAUGCUGUAAUGAAACUUGAUGGUGUCAGUUUUCUGCAAUAAUACAACACCAACACUAAACUAUACAGCUCCCAAAACAAUGUGCUUUGAGAAGGGAGAGCAACCAUGCCCUGUACUUCUUGAAAGAAGCAGUGUUGAUAAGAAGAGUUCUGUGUUGAAGUAAGCAAUGACAUCCUGAGU